AUUGAACGCUGGCGGCAGGCUUAACACAUGCAAGUCGAGCGGAGACUUCGGUCUUAGCGGCGAACGGGUGAGGAAUGCCUGGGAAUCUGCCUGUUAGUGGGGGAUAACGUUCCGAAAGGAGCGCUAAUACCGCAUACGUCCUACGGGAGAAAGCAGGGGACCUUCGGGCCUUGCGCUAACAGAUGAGCCCAGGUCGGAUUAGCUAGUUGGUGGGGUAAAGGCUCACCAAGGCGACGAUCCGUAGCUGGUCUGAGAGGAUGAUCAGCCACACUGGAACUGAGACACGGUCCAGACUCCUACGGGAGGCAGCAGUGGGGAAUAUUGGACAAUGGGCGAAAGCCUGAUCCAGCCAUGCCGCGUGUGUGAAGAAGG
rnacentral:rRNA from 1 species